UUCACACCCGCACUCGCGCCGCUCUCCUCACUCCUCUCAUCUUUCCUGCAAACAGAUCUCGCCGCCUCGCGAGCACAUCGCCGGCGCGCAUCCUCACCGCGCAGAGGUUGAACUCUCCUCCUCCCAUCCCUCUUCCAUCUCUCCCCAUCCUCCUCGGACCCCUCUCAUCUCUCUCUGCCCCUUGCGCUGCUGCUCAUCCGGUGCGGAUGUAAGCCGGCGGUCGGAGCCGAGCUCCCGACCAUGGCCGCCGUGGCCAUUGGAGCUGCUCCCCUCGCUCCUGUGUAGAGCUGCGAGCACCACUGCCCCACACGCACACUCAUGCCCACAGCCGCCAUGCACAUGCUCUGUCCUGAACCUCCUUCCCUCCUAUGGAUAUGUGUGAUUAGCAUGCAUCUACGUGAGCUAUUGGGCUAGUAAUUUUUGUGAUUAUCAUGGAUCUGUGCGAUCUGUUCCCAAGAGUUUGCUAAUUUGUGUAUAUUUUUUAUUAUGUUUUGACACUGCAAAUGAUGUCAAUAUUAUCAGUGCUCAUGGCUUUAUUAAUUUACAAAUCUGUGCUGAAUUUAUAUAGAUAGAUGACAACAGCAAGACCCGAGAUACACUGAAGCUUGUGGCGCUGAAGCUUCAAGGUUUACAAUUGGAUUUGUGGUUAUCUAAUAUGUGAACUCUGGUAUGUGUUGGACUGUAAUAUGGACGUGGCUCUAUAAUAUAUGAACUCUUUAGAUGUACUUGGACUGGAUACUUGAUUUAUGUGCACUCUUUAUUAUCCUGAUGCAUUUCUCUAGCUAUUUUGUACCAUAAACUGCUUAUGUGUAUAAAAAUUGUUGAUAUACUUAUAAAAACAACCAAGAUGCUGCUGAAAUUUUGUUUUUCUUACUUCAGUCAUCUCUGCCAUUUUGAAGACAUGGUCACCAAAUUUUUGAAGACAUGUGAAAAUAUAUUCUUUUAUUACU
rnacentral:lncRNA from 1 species